UACGUAGGGUCCGAGCGUUGUCCGGAAUUACUGGGCGUAAAGCGCGCGUAGGCGGCCCCGCAAGUCGGCCGUGAAAUCUCCGGGCUCAACUCGGAGGGGUCGGGCGAGACUGCGAGGCUCGAGGUGGGCAGAGGGCAGUGGAAUUCCGGGUGUAGUGGUGGAAUGCGUAGAGAUCCGGAGGAAUACCGGUGGCGAAGGCGGCAUCCUGGACCGACAUUGACGCUGAGGAGCGAAAGCUAGGGGAGCAAACGGG
rnacentral:rRNA from 1 species